UUGUUAGGGAAGAACAAGUAUCGGAGUAACUGCCGGUACCUUGACGGUACCUAACCAGAAAGCCACGGCUAACUCGUGCCAGCAGCCGCGGUAAUACGUAGGUGGCAAGCGUUGUCCGGAAUUAUUGGGCGUAAAGCGCGCGCAGGCGGUCCUUUAAGUCUGAUGUGAAAGCCCACGGCUCAACCGUGGAGGGUCAUUGGAAACUGGGGGACUUGAGUGCAGAAGAGGAAAGCGGAAUUCCACGUGUAGCGGUGAAAUGCGUAGAGAUGUGGAGGAACACCAGUGGCGAAGGCGGCUUUCUGGUCUGUAACUGACGCUGAGGCGCGAAAGCGUGGGGAGCAAACAGGAUUAGAUACCCUGGUAGUCCACGCCGUAAACGAUGAGUGCUAAGUGUUAGAGGGUUUCCGCCCUUUAGUGCUGCAGCUAACGCAUUAAGCACUCCGCCAGCUUACGACCCGAAGGCCUUCAUCGCUCACGCGGCGUUGCUCCGUCAG
rnacentral:rRNA from 1 species